UUGAACUCCUGGGUUCAAGCGAUCCAUCCACUUUGGCCUCCCAAAGUGCUGGGAUUACAGGUGUGAGCCAACGCACUCAGCCUCUAUUUCCCGUUGAACUGGUUUUGGUAAGAUAUUUUACAGGCUAACUGUGUAUUUCAUCUAGCAGUCAGCAAGUGUUUGCACAUCGUUAUAAAUUAUGUCUUGUUAUGAACUUGUUCUAACAACAAUUCACUCUAAGCAGGCAUUCCGCAUGCUCAUUACAUAAUAUUUUUGUCUCUGUGCAGCUGCACAUCUGCACCAUAGUGUAGCUCCCUGUCCCCGGAUGACCGACUGGAACUAGGUUUCUCCAUCCCCAAUAGGCCUCACUGUGUCUCAUCACACCAAAGUAUUUUUUAAAAGGCUUAAUGAAGACACCAUCCUCUGUAUCAUCCCCCGGGAAGGCUGAGCAGGUUGCGCACCAUAAAUACACUUCAACGUUCCUAUCUGCCUAAGCCUUGGAUCCCCUCCUCUGUAAUAUAGCAAGGUUUCCAACAUUAUAAAUUGGCAAAGGUCUUGCAAUUGUUUGGAUGCCUCCUCCCAGAUCAGUUUUGGUCGUCAUUACCCGAGGGUCUGCCAGGAUGUUAUGGUUCUGAAAAUAAUAAAAGCUGGGAGUAAAAUCAACAGUCCGCUCAAGGCAGCAGCCUCAGUAUGGUCAGAAAAAUCCAGCCCAUUCUACAAGAAGAAUCUAAUAUAAGAAUCUUACAACGUUCUGUUACAACAGCUACUUGAUGUCCCAAGGCCUUGCUUGCCAUAGGCAGCUGACCCCAGGCAAUUACAGAUUCUAAUUUAGGUAACUGAUUUGUCAAAGCACGUCAUGAACGGCUAGCAUCUCACUUUCCACUGGCAAUGAAGUCGCUGUGGCCUUCAAAUCUAAAAAGAUGAAAGGAACAAUUCCAGAUUCCUAUAUUCACAUAUUUGUUCUCCAAA